rnacentral:rRNA from 1 species
UCAGACGAUGCGUCAUGCAUAUCAAUAAGCGGAGGAAAAGAAACUAACAAGGAUUCCCUCAGUAACGGCGAGUGAAGCGGGAAGAGCUCAAAUUUGAAAUCUUGAAAGGUCACCUUUCACGAAUUGUAGUUUAAAGAAGUGUUUUCUGUUACGAUCGUAAUAUAAGCUCUUUGGAAUAGGACAUCACAGAGGGUGAGAAUCCCGUCUAUGAUUGCGAUUUGUAGCUUUGUGAUACACUUUCAAAGAGUCGGGUUGUUUGGGAAUGCAGCCCAAAACGGGAGGUAAAUUUCUUCUAAGGCUAAAUAUUGGCGAGAGACCGAUAGCGAACAAGUACCGUGAGGGAAAGAUGAAAAGAACUUUGAAAAGAGAGUUAAAUAGUACGUGAAAUUGUCAAAAGGGAAGCGUUUAACACCAGUGUUGUUUUCUGAAAAUCAACCUCUGUUAGCUUUAUGCAUGUUUGUUUAGACCUAAUCAGCUAUCUUGCAUGUUCUAUUGUUUGCAGUGGUGCACUUUUCAGUUUACAGGUCAACAUCAGUUUUUUUUACCGUAAAAAAGUUAAAGAAAGGUAGCUCAUGGCUCCGGUCGUGAGUGUUAUAGUCUUUUUCCUAUGCGGUAGGAGAGACUGAGGUCUGCAGUGUAGGCUAUUUGGCUAGAUACUCAGGUGCUAUGUGAUACCAUUUCAUAAACAACUUGUUGAUUAUGUUUUGUCUAUUGCAUACUCGCUUGUACUAUCAUACCUACGCUUAGGAUGUUGAAGACUCUACAGAGAUA